rnacentral:rRNA from 1 species
CCUACGGGAGGCAGCAGUGGGGAAUAUUGCGCAAUGGGCGAAAGCCUGACGCAGCGACGCCGCGUGAGGGAUGAAGGUCUUCGGAUCGUAAACCUCUGUCAGCAGGGAAGAACGGUCACUGUGCUAAUCAGCAGUGAAUUGACGGUACCUGCAAAGGAAGCACCGGCUAACUCCGUGCCAGCAGCCGCGGUAAUACGGAGGGUGUGAGCGUUAAUCGGAAUUACUGGGCGUAAAGCGCUCGUAGGAGUUCUGUCAAGUCAAGGGUGAAAUCCCCGCGCUCAAGGUGGGAACUGCCUUUGAAACUGGCAAACUUGAGGGUGUGAGAGGAUAGUGGAAUUCCAGGUGGAGGAGUGGAAUCCGUAGAUAUCUGGAGGAACAGCAGGGGAGAAGGCGAGUAUCUGGCACAUAACUGAUGCUGAGGAGCGAAAGCGUGGGUAGCAAACAGGAGUAGAGACCCCGGUAGUC